GGUCUGGUGGUGUAGUUGGUUAUCACGUCAGUCUAACAGUUCGAGCUCUUCUUCGUGAGAUUUGCUUGUCUGGUUCACUGAAGGUCUCCGGUUCAAGUCCGGGCUAGAUCA
rnacentral:tRNA from 1 species